rnacentral:rRNA from 1 species
UACGUAGGGUGCGAGCGUUAAUCGGAAUUACUGGGCGUAAAGCGUGCGCAGGCGGUUAUUUAAGUCAGGUGUGAAAGCCCUGGGCUUAACCUAGGAAUUGCGCUUGAGACUGGAUAGCUUGGAGUGCGGCAGAGGGAGGUGGAAUUCCACGUGUAGCAGUGAAAUGCGUAGAUAUCCGGAGGAACACCGGUGGCGAAGGCGGCUUCCUGGACCGACACUGAAGCUGAGGCGCGAAAGCUAGGGGAGCAAACGGG